rnacentral:snoRNA from 1 species
AUCCCAUGAUGAGGAUAGGCGGUGACGUACUGCUGCAGCCUUUCCCAAGCUUUAGGAAUUGUUUCAUCCCUCAUCUGCUGGAAGCUGGAUAUCCUUCUACGAAGGGU